GGCAUGAUGUAGUUCAAUGGAUAGAACAUCGGUCUCCAAAACCGGUAAAGUAGGUUCAAUUCCUGCCAUCCCUA